UUUACUCUAUUUUGAAAACCCUAAGCCUUUACUUUCUGUUAAAAACCUUAAGCCUUCAUUCUCCAUGAAAAACCCUUGGAAGAUUACCAUAUACCCACCUUGACCUACAAUUUUUCUUCACUUGCUGGCAAUAGAAUCUCAUAGAUCUGAACAAUAACGAAAUCAGUAGUAUAGUGAGAGGCAAUUGCAGAGGGAUACAUCGC
rnacentral:lncRNA from 1 species